AGAGUUUGAUCCUGGCUCAGAUUGAACGCUGGCGGCAGGCCUAACACAUGCAAGUCGAGCGGAAACAGAGAGUAACUUGUUACUUUGCUGUCGAGCGGCGGACGGGUGAGUAAUGCUUGGGAAACUGCCCAGUCGAGGGGGACAACCAUUGGAAACGAUGGCUAAUACCGCAUACGCCACUCCUGUUAAAGGGAAUGCUUCGGAGCCUUUCGCGAUUGGAUGUGCCCAAGUGGGAUUAGCUAGUUGGUGAGGUAAAGGCUCACCAAGGCAACGAUCCCUAGCUGGUUUGAGAGGAUGAUCAGCCACACUGGAACUGAGACACGGUCCAGACUCCUACGGGAGGCAGCAGUGGGGAAUAUUGCACAAUGGGCGCAAGCCUGAUGCAGCCAUGCCGCGUGUGUGAAGAAGGCCUUCGGGUUGUAAAGCACUUUCAGCGAGGAGGAAAGGGGUGUAUUAAUAAAUGCUAUCUGUGACGUUACUCGCAGAAGAAGCACCGGCUAACUUCGUGCCAGCAGCCGCGGUAAUACGAGGGGUGCAAGCGUUAAUCGGAAUUACUGGGCGUAAAGCGUGCGUAGGUGGUUUGUUAAGCAAGAUGUGAAAGCCCCGGGCUCAACCUGGGAACUGCAUUUUGAACUGGCAGGCUAGAGUUUUGUAGAGGGUAUUGGAAUUUCCAGUGUAGCGGUGAAAUGCGUAGAGAUUGGAAGGAACAUCAGUGGCGAAGGCGCCCCCUGGACAAAGACUGACGCUCAUGUACGAAAGCGUGGGGAGCAAACAGGAUUAGAUACCCUGGUAGUCCACGCCGUAAACGAUGUCUACUCGGAAUUUGGUAACUUAGUUACUGGGUUCCCAAGCUAACGCAUUAAGUAGACCGCCUGGGGAGUACGGCCGCAAGGUUAAAACUCAAAUGAAUUGACGGGGGCCCGCACAAGCGGUGGAGCAUGUGGUUUAAUUCGAUGCAACGCGAAGAACCUUACCUACUCUUGACAUCCUCAGAACUAGCAGAGAUGCUUUGGUGCCUUCGGGAACUGAGAGACAGGUGCUGCAUGGCUGUCGUCAGCUCGUGUUGUGAAAUGUUGGGUUAAGUCCCGUAACGAGCGCAACCCUUGUCCUUAGUUACCAGCACGUAAUGGUGGGGACUCUAAGGAGACUGCCGGUGACAAACCGGAGGAAGGUGGGGACGACGUCAAGUCAUCAUGGCCCUUACGACCUGGGCUACACACGUGCUACAAUGGCCGGUACAACGAGCUGCAACCCGCGAGGGGGAGCCAAUCUCAUCAAACCUCGCCUCAGUUGGAAUCGGAGGCUGCAACUCGCCUCCGUGAACGCGGAGUCGCUAGUAACCGCAGGUCAGCACCACUGCGGUGAAUACGUUCCCGGGCCUUGUACACACCGCCCGUCACGUCAUGGAAGCCGGUAACACCUGAAGUCGCCGCGCCAACCUUCGGGAGGUAGGCGCCUAAGGUGGGACUGGUGACUGGGACGAAGUCGUAACAAGGUAACC
rnacentral:rRNA from 1 species